rnacentral:rRNA from 1 species
AGGAUGAACGCUGGCGGCGUGCCUAACACAUGCAAGUCGAACGUCCUGUCUCGCAAGAGGCAGGGAGUGGCGGACGGGUGAGUACCACGUGGGUCAUCUACCGUGAGGUGAGGAAUACCGGCGAGAAAUCGUCGACAAGACCGCAUAGGCUCGAUGCAAGUCGAGCAAAGCUCUCUCGAGAGAGGGAGCGCCACACGAGGAGCCUGCGCCCGAUUAGCUAGCUGGUGGAGUAACGGUUCACCAGGGCGACGAUCGGUAGCUGGUCUGAGAGGACGAUCAGCCACACUGGGAUUGAGAACGGCCCAGACUCCUACGGGGGGCAGCAGUGAGGAAUUUUUGCACAAUGGACGAAAGUCUGAUGCAGCAACGCCGCGUGGGGGAUGAAGCUUCUCGGAGUGUAAACCCCUUUCGACCCGGACGAAUGCCCGCAAGGGUUUGACGGUACGGGUAUAAGAAGCCCGGCUAACUACGCGCCAGCAGCCG